ensembl:lncRNA
GCAUCCCUUUGAUUCUCACUUCUUCUUGUAUCAUAAACACUAAAAAUACCUAAGUGACCCUCUGGAGAGGAUGUGCAUGUUCAGCUUUUAGCUCGGAGCAGCAAACUCGCUGACAUCACAGUGUCCCGAGCAGGUGGAGGACGCCACGAGCGCUGUUUCUGGCUUUCAUCUCCAGUUGCCUGUGUGUGUGUGUGUGUGUGUGUGUGUGUGUGUGUGUGAGCUGAUAAUAGCAGCUCCAUUGGUAUUCAGCGGAGGGAGCUCCAGGAUCUCGCUGCGCCUUUCCCCAGGAUGGGAUCACAGAGCAGGGAUUGUGCUUGCCUGUGGAGAGCCCACUGAAAUGGAUCUGAAGCCUCGCAGAGAUGGGCACCAAAUGGACAGCAUGGAAGCCAACAUCCACCCUCCAGCGACCAGCUUUCCACGGCUAGCUGCCUCCACCAUCUCCUGCCAUCAGCUCGAACCAUCCGAGCGAGGGCUGAGUCUGCAGAGUUGAGCCUGGACCAGCCGUCUACCGAAAGCAGAGAUAAGCAGAGGGCGACAGGCCUCGGAGGAGUCAACGCGCAACAAGCCAGUCGGCGUGUUGAGCGCACAAUUGAGCUUCUUGGACUUCAUCUAAAAUGAAAUAGGCUGCAGUGAUGCUUGAGCAAUGGUACGGAGCUUUUGGAUAUGUCCGGAUUUAUCAGCCGGAUAUAUUUUUGAGAUUACGACACUUUGGUGCACACCUCAGAGCUCAGCCACUUUUUCCAGAUUGGCUUGUGGGCAAAAGCGAGUAAUUGAAAAUCCCCCCUCGAGAGGCGCUCUGUUUUGAUUUGUUGCGGGGGAGGAGGGCCUAUCGUUAUUGUUUUUUUUCUUCUUUUUUUUUUCGAGGAACAAUUUCCAAAAAC